rnacentral:snoRNA from 1 species
AACCUAUGGUGAUAGCACCUUCUCAAUAGAUCUUUGUAUCUCUCCCAUGCAUCAUAAAGUGUUUCUAAAUCCAUCUACACAAAAAAAGAUAUAUCAUUCCUUAAUUU